CCACCUCCCCUGCAAAUGUCCA
rnacentral:miRNA from 1 species